rnacentral:rRNA from 1 species
UCACUGGAGAGUUUGAUCCUGGCUCAGGACGAACGCUGGCGGCGUGCCUCAAACAUGCAAGUCGAGCGAGGGUUGGCGCGUAGCCAACUACGCGUUUCAACUCUAGCGGCGAACGGGUGAGUAA